rnacentral:ncRNA from 1 species
GUAAACGUAAUGAAGGGAAUAGUAGGAAAGCCCCUGCACGCUCAGAGAGUAAAUUCCACCGGCUGCGAGAAUUUACCGUGAAGACUAUCCGAACCCGCCCCCGAACGGCCAGCGAAGAGUUGGACGGCGCUCCCUGCCGUUACGAGGGAACCAAGAUGGAUGACGCAUGUCAUCAAGCAAGGUGGUACCGCGGAAGUUACAGGCUUUCGUCCUUCAU